rnacentral:rRNA from 1 species
UGGGGAAUAUUGCACAAUGGGCGCAAGCCUGAUGCAGCCAUGCCGCGUGUGUGAAGAAGGCCUUCGGGUUGUAAAGCACUUUCAGCGGGGAGGAAGGCGAUAAGGUUAAUAACCUUGUCGAUUGACGUUACCCGCAGAAGAAGCACCGGCUAACUCCGUGCCAGCAGCCGCGGUAAUACGGAGGGUGCAAGCGUUAAUCGGAAUUACUGGGCGUAAAGCGCACGCAGGCGGUCUGUCAAGUCGGAUGUGAAAUCCCCGGGCUAAACCUGGGAACUGCAUUCGAAACUGGCAGGCUAGAGUCUUGUAGAGGGGGGUAGAAUUCCAGGUGUAGCGGUGAAAUGCGUAGAGAUCUGGAGGAAUACCGGUGGCGAAGGCGGCCCCCUGGACAAAGACUGACGCUCAGGUGCGAAAGCGUGGGGAGCAAACAGG